rnacentral:lncRNA from 1 species
UUCAGUUUUUAGGCUUUCAAAAUCACAAAUACAAAGGAGGAUAUAAUACAUAGUCCUAUAUUUUAUACAAAUUGGGACACUUUUCUUCAUUUCUUAUUUCGUGGCAUUGCCUAACUAUAGUCAAGCUAAUGACCCAUGUAGAUGUAGUGUUGUACCUGGUGUCCGUGUCCCUGUGAAUGUGUCAUGUUGUGCUGGCCUGAUUCCCCAACAUCAGCCCCAGGGAGCCAGCAGCUGGAGCAGCUGUCAUCUUGUGAAAGCAGAGUGUCCUUGUUGCUAUUGAUUGGGUUGUUCAGUCAAUUGCAAAAAAGUGGAUCUAACUGUCAAUGGUAGUUAUAUGAUAAUCCUGGAGAUAAAUAAGUGUCAAGUGAAGUAUUACUUGAAUUUAGGACUUGAAGAGAGAGAAAGGGGUAUGAGUAGUUGGAGGGGAAGAUUUGCUAUGACAAGCUAUUAUUCAGUGUGGUUAUUUUGUAUGACAGGUAAGUCUACAGGUAUCUUUUGUUAGAUAAAUCAGAAAUUAAGCAUUCCCUUUGUAAACUCCAAACAAGAUUUUGAAACACCAUGGUCCCCCCUUAUCCACCUCCAAGAUCUCCAGUGGAUGUCUGAAACCACUGAUAGUACUGAAGUCUCUAUAUAUUAUGUUUUUCCCCUGUAUGUAAUACAUACCUGUGAUAAAGUUUAAUUUAUAAAUUAGGCACAGGAAGAAAUUAACAAAAAUAAGUAAGAAUAGAACAGUUAUAACUAUAUGUUCUAUUAAAAGUUAUGUGAAUUUGUUUUCUCUCUCUCUCAAAAUAUCCUGUUGUGCUGUGUGUUCACCCAUUUUUGAGCUGCCGUUGACUGUGGAUAACAAACCACAGAAAGUGAAACUUCACAUAAAGGGGGACUACUGUAUUCUCAUAAUGUUAAUUGCUUCUAGAAUUCACAAGGAUUGAAUUCAACUUGAAUCUUGCUAAAGAAGUACUUUAUUAUUCGAUGUUAGUCCAGCAACAACUUAUAGUGUAGAAAUUUGCCCUUUUGAGGGUGAAUACACAAAGGGGAAAGAAAACUUGUGUGCCCACGGUCCACUAACAGAUAAGCUUCUGGAGGCCAGGAGUAAACCGCCCUGCAGGGGAGCCAUCUCCCAGGGUUUCCCCAGCAGAGAGCUGUGCCCAGUGCCGGGGUCUCAUGCUUACCUAUUUCUCUGUGCCAGUAUAGUAGACCUGUUUUCAAGCCUAGCAUGAGCCUUAAGUAUUACUGGCUGGGAGUGGUGGCUCAUGCCUGUAAUCCUAGCACUUUGGGAGGGUGAGGCAGGCGGAUUGCCUGAGCUCAGGAGUUUGAGACCAGCCUGGGCAACAUGGUGAAACCCUGUCUCUACUAAAAUACAAAAAAUUAGCCGGGCGUGGUGGCGGGCACCUGUAGUCCCAGCUACUUGGGAGGCUGAGGUAGGAGAAUUGCUUGAACCCAGGAGGCAGACAUUGCAGUGGGCUGAGAUCACGCCAGUGCACUCCAGCCUGGGUGACAGAGCGAGACUCUGUCUCCCACAAAAAAAAGAAAAAAAAAAAAAGUAUUACUUAUUUAGUAAGUCCAUAGCAUUUUGUUCACACAGUGUAUCAUUGUGCUUUUCUGUUUCAAAGUGUAAUUAUUUAAUCUAGAAAUUUUAAGUCCUGUGACAGAAAACAAAUGCUGUUCUCACAAAAUAUGAGAAAUCAAAUUCCAUCUUAUUAUUUAAAUUAAUUCUUUUUUAACUGAAGAAUUGUUAUGUGGGUAGCUUUCAACAUAAUUUUUUCAAUAUUAGAUGCUUAUAACUAAUGUGGAUUUAGUUAAUUCGAUGUUUAUCACAUUUAAUUCUUAUUUACUACAAAGGUUAAAGCAAUUUUAUUUCUUCUGGAAACUUUUAGGAUCUUGUGAGUGAGGGACGUCAGCCAAAAUUGGCAACUUUUUCAAGCAACUGGCUCAAGAAAUUAGGAAUUUCUCUAAUAAUGAGCCAUCGUUUUUUGAAUUCAACAAUUUAAAAGGGCUGCAUAGUUAGGAUAUGAUUCCAGUUUCCCCUCAGUGCAAAUUGAUAUUUUUUUCUGUUGACACAUUCUACUUUGUUUUCGAAGACUAGUUUAUAGUGUUCUUUUAAAAGCAAAGAAAAUAUCUUUAAAAAUCCCAGCUUUUUGGCUGGGUGCGGUGGCUUCAUGCCUGUGAUCCUAGCACUUUGGGAGGCUGGGGCAGGCGAAUCAUGAGGUCAGGAGUUUGAGACCAGCCUGGCCAACAUGGUGAAACCCUGUCUCUACCAAAAAUACAAAAAAAUUAGCCGGGCAUGGUGGCAGGCGCCUGUAAUCCCAGCUACUCGGGAGGCUGAGGCAGGAGAAUCACUUGAACCCAGGAGGCAGAGCUUGCAGUGAGCCGAGAUCGCGCCACUGCACUCCAGCCCGGGCGACAGAGCGAGACUCCGUCUC